rnacentral:lncRNA from 1 species
GCCGCACAGCGCCCACACCCUGCCGGCCAUGAACGCCCUCAGAUCCCGGCAGCCAUGACCUCCCUCAGGGAGGCUCUGGUGCCGCACAGCACCCACACCCUGCCCGCCAUGAACGCCCUCAGGGGGGCUCUGGUGCCGCACAGCGCCCACAUCCCGGCAGCCAUGAACGCCCUCAGCUCCUGGCAGCCAUGAGGGACACUGUCAGAUACCGGUAGCCAUGGCCUCCCUCAGAGGAGCUCUGGUG